CUUCACGGAACCGAGCCACACCGGGCGUUCCCGGUCCUGCCCGUAGGUGGCGAGCAGCGCCUGGGCCUC
rnacentral:antisense_RNA from 1 species